UGGACCAAUGAUGACGACUGGUGGAGUUUGAGUCGAACAUGAUGAACACUGUGGGUCUUGAACUCUGAGGUCCAA
ensembl:snoRNA